AGACAAAUCUCCUUCGCUAGCU
rnacentral:snRNA from 1 species